rnacentral:piRNA from 2 species
GAUACAGAACACUUCCAUUGCC